AACGGCCGUACCAUGCUGAAUAUACCGGUUCUCGUUAGAACACCGAAGUUAAGCAUCAUUGGGCCCGGUCAGUACUUGGGUGGGUGACCACCUGGGAACACUGCGUGCCGUU